GAUUUCAACUGAAAAAGUCAUCAACAACAAAGUGGUAUAACUCAUCAAGAUCUAUAACUUUUAUUUGGGUCAUUUCUUCAUCCNACAAAGNGAUUUGUAACAUUNUUCAGAAAAUGUACAAAUCUCUUAUAUAGUUUAUAAACUAUAAGAGAGAUAUGUAAACUUUAUAAACAAUGUUACUAUUACUUUGUUGGAUGAAGAAAUAACCAAAAUAAAAGUUAUAGAUAUUGAUGAGUUAUACAACUUUGUUGUUGAUGACUUUUUUAGUUGAAAUC
rnacentral:pre_miRNA from 1 species